rnacentral:rRNA from 1 species
GGGGAAUCUUGGACAAUGGGCGCAAGCCUGAUCCAGCCAUGCCGCGUGAGUGAUGAAGGCCUUAGGGUCGUAAAGCUCUUUCGCCAGGGAUGAUAAUGACAGUACCUGGUAAAGAAACCCCGGCUAACUCCGUGCCAGCAGCCGCGGUAAUACGGAGGGGGUUAGCGUUGUUCGGAAUUACUGGGCGUAAAGCGCGCGUAGGCGGGUUGUUAAGUUAGAGGUGAAAUCCCGGGGCUCAACCCCGGAACUGCCUUUAAUACUGGCAACCUAGAGUUCGAGAGAGGUGAGUGGAAUUCCGAGUGUAGAGGUGAAAUUCGUAGAUAUUCGGAGGAACACCAGUGGCGAAGGCGGCUCACUGGCUCGAUACUGACGCUGAGGUGCGAAAGUGUGGGGAGCAAAC